GAGGCCAAACCUCGUCAGCACACUCUACGUUUGCUGCAAGACAUAGAUUGAUUCAAUAUAGUUGCGAGUCAAUUUAAUAACCCUUUCAGUAGUUGGAA
rnacentral:sRNA from 1 species